UUAAGCCAUGCAAGUCGAACGAGUUUAGGCUCGUGGCGUACGGCUCAGUAACACGUGGAUAACCUACCCUUAGGACCGGGAUAACCUUGGGAAACUGAGGAUAAUACUGGAUAGGCAAUUAUUUCUGCAAUGGUUUUUUGUUUAAAUGUUUUUUUCGCCUAAGGAUGGGUCUGCGGCCGAUUAGGUAGUUGGUUAGGUAAAGGCUUACCAAGCCGUUGAUCGGUACGGGUUGUGAGAGCAAGAGCCCGGAGAUGGAACCUGAGACAAGGUUCCAGGCCCUACGGGGUGCAGCAGGCGCGAAACCUCCGCAAUGUGAGAAAUCGCGACGGGGGGAUCCCAAGUGCCAUUCUUAACGGGAUGGCUUUUCAUUAGUGUAAAGAGCUUUUGGAAUAAGGGCUGGGCAAGACCGGUGCCAGCCGCCGCGGUAA
rnacentral:rRNA from 1 species